rnacentral:rRNA from 1 species
GGAAUAUUGGACAAUGGGCGCAAGCCUGAUCCAGCCAUGCCGCGUGAGUGAUGAAGGUCUUAGGAUUGUAAAGCUCUUUCACCGGGGACGAUAAUGACGGUACCCGGAGAAGAAGCCCCGGCUAACUUCGUGCCAGCAGCCGCGGUAAUACGAAGGGGGCUAGCGUUGUUCGGAAUUACUGGGCGUAAAGCGCACGUAGGCGGAUUGUUAAGUCGGGGGUGAAAUCCCGGGGCUCAACCCCGGAACUGCCUUCGAUACUGGCAAUCUAGAGUCCGGAAGAGGUGAGUGGAAUUCCGAGUGUAGAGGUGAAAUUCGUAGAUAUUCGGAGGAACACCAGUGGCGAAGGCGGCUCACUGGUCCGGUACUGACGCUGAGGUGCGAAAGCGUGGGGAGCAAAC